rnacentral:rRNA from 1 species
GACGAACGCUGGCGGCGUGCUUAACACAUGCAAGUCGAACGGUGAAGCGCCUUCCUUUUUGGUGGGUGUGGAUGAGUGGCGAACGGGUGAGUAACACGUGAGUAACCUGCCCCCUUCUUCUGGAUAACCGCAUGAAAGUGUGGCUAAUACGGGAUAUUCUGGGUCUGUCGCAUGAUGGGUCUGGGAAAGAUAUUGUUUCGGUGGGGGAUGGGCUCGCGGCCUAUCAGCUUGUUGGUGGGGUGAUGGCCUACCAAGGCGGUGACGGGUAGCCGGCCUGAGAGGGUGGACGGUCACACUGGGACUGAGACACGGCCCAGACUCCUACGGGAGGCAGCAGUGGGGAAUAUUGCACAAUGGGCGCAAGCCUGAUGCAGCGACGCCGCGUGAGGGAUGGAGGUCUUCGGGUUGUGAACCUCUUUCGCCAGUGAAGCAGGCCUGCCUCGUUUGUGGGUGGGUUGACGGUAGCUGGAUAAGAAGCGCCGGCUAACUACGUG